rnacentral:tRNA from 1 species
UGGGGUGUCGUCAAGCGGUAAGACAGAGGAUUUUGGAUCCUUUAUUCCCAGGUUCGAAUCCUGGCACCCCAG